CUUGAUAACUUUCGUUUUACAAAUUAAACCUCUAUAAUGGCAUCAGACCUCCCUAAACUAUUAAUAUGUCAUAUGCCUUCUAUCUUUUAUGCGGCCGCCGGUCGCGGCUUAUUUCUGACUACAUGUCCCAUGUGGCAUUGCGGCCAAACUUCCGAAAUGCGGAAGUGCCGUAUGUCACAUGAUUAUCUCUUAGUAUUUUAAAUCAUACUUUCCCAC